UACGAAGGGGGCUAGCGUUGCUCGGAAUCACUGGGCGUAAAGCGCACGUAGGCGGACUCUUAAGUCAGGGGUGAAAUCCUGGAGCUCAACUCCAGAACUGCCUUUGAUACUGGGAGUCUUGAGUCCGGAAGAGGUAAGUGGAACUGCGAGUGUAGAGGUGAAAUUCGUAGAUAUUGGGAGGAACACCGGUGGCGAAGGCGGGAUCCUGGGCCAGUACUGACGCUGAGGAGCGAAAGCGUGGGGAGCAAACAGG
rnacentral:rRNA from 1 species